UUGGAGUGGCAUUUUGGCUAUUGAUGAUUUUGGUGUUCAUAGUUUGGCAUGAUUAAAGAGCUUCUAAUAAUUUGUUAUACAGUAAUGCAAGCAUGUGGACUCUUAUUUCGAUGAUUCAAAAAGUAAAUCAUCAUGAUCGAUGCUAUUAUCUUCUAUAUCAAUAGAUUUAAGCAAGAAAUGUUCGAUAUUACCACCAUUGAUAAGGUUGCUUUUACAACCACUACUUUUUAUAAAUUGAAC
rnacentral:lncRNA from 1 species